CAGUCGCCGCGGUAAAACGGAGGGGGCUAGCGUUGUUCGGAAUUACUGGGCGUAAAGCGCACGUAGGCGGCUUGGUAAGUUAGAGGUGAAAGCCCGGAGCUCAACUCCGGAAUUGCCUUUAAGACUGCCGAGCUAGUAGGUGAGAGAGGUAAGUGGAAUUCCGAGUGUAGAGGUGAAAUUCGUAGAUAUUCGGAAGAACACCUGUGGCGAAGGCGGCUUACUGGCUCAUUCUAGACGCUGAGGUGCGAAAGCGUGGGGAGCAAACAGGAUUAGAUACCCCGGUAGUCCCUGUCUCUUAUAC
rnacentral:rRNA from 1 species